CAGUAGCCACGGUAAUACGAAGGGGGCUAGCGUUGUUCGGAAUUACUGGGCGUAAAGCGCACGUAGGCGGAUAUUUAAGUCAGGGGUGAAAUCCUAGAGCUCAACUCUGGAACUGCCUUUGAUACUGGGUAUCUUGAGUAUGGAAGAGGUGAGUGGAAUUCCGAGUGUAGAGGUGAAAUUCGUAGAUAUUCGGAGGAACACCAGUGGCGAAGGCGGCUCACUGGUCCAUUACUGACGCUGAGGUGCGAAAGCGUGGGGAGCAAACAGGAUUAGAUACCCCCGUAGUCCCUGUCUCUUAUAC
rnacentral:rRNA from 1 species